UGAUUCCUACGUUUUAAGAACCUGUUUACAGAAGGAGGAUAACACUUUAGUGCUUUUCUCAUAUAAGUUCAGGUGGGAAAUUCGGUGAAACACAGCGGAACCAACAACAUCUACCAAGGUGUCGUUGCCCUCCCCAAGCCUAGACGGUGUCUUCUUCUAGGAGGAGCUUAAGUCCAGGUCCUUCCCGUGAGGGCAGUUUUCUUUGCAAUUUUAAAUUUUACUGGGGAACCGGUCUGCCUAAAAAUUGCCAUUGAAGAAUUUAUUGGGACGUCGUUAGCAGAAAUUCACAGAGACCUCUUUCAAAGAAAUUGGUCCCUGAUGGGAACAGCGACGGUAGUUCCAUUUGACUUGUGGUGUGAAAUAAUAUCGACCAUAAGGUCUGUUGAGUGCAAUCGUAGGACAGAUUUGAUUUGAAAAUCUGAACCCGAUCCCGACCACUG
rnacentral:RNase_P_RNA from 15 species